GCCGGAGUGGUGGAAUUGGUAGACACGCAGGUUUUAGGUACCUGUGCCUUCGGGCAUGGGGGUUCGAGUCCCCCCUUCGGCAC
rnacentral:tRNA from 1 species